AUCGCCCAUGCAGCCCUAAACGUGACCCUUUCAACCGCCAAGUCAACCUCGGCCAUGAUGGUGAAGCUUGCCAAAAGCCAAGGAUUGAAGCCUACAGAGGUGGGCGCCAUGCAAGAUUGCGUGGAGGAAUUGGAGGACACGAUAGAUGAGCUGAGAAAGUCAAUCAGCGAGAUGGGUCAGAUUAAAGGCUCCAAUUUUGGACUAAUGAUUAACGAUAUACAGACAUGGGUUAGCGCUGCUUUGACGGAUGAGAACACCUGCGCCGACGGGUUUGGAGGGAAAAACAUGAACGGCAGUAUAAAGACUGCUGUGAGAUCCAAGAUUGUCACAAUCGCUCAUUUGACAAGUAAUGCCUUGGCUUUGGUCAACAGCUAUGCUUCAUUUCAUGGUUAGCUAUUUAAUCAA
rnacentral:lncRNA from 1 species